UGGGGAAUUUUGGACAAUGGGCGAAAGGCCUGAUCCAGCAAUGCCGCGUGUGUGAAGAAGGCCUUCGGGUUGUAAAGCACUUUUGUCCGGAAAGAAAUCCUUGGCUCUAAUACAGUCGGGGGAUGACGGUACCGGAAGAAUAAGCACCGGCUAACUACGUGCCAGCAGCCGCGGUAAUACGUAGGGUGCAAGCGUUAAUCGGAAUUACUGGGCGUAAAGCGUGCGCAGGCGGUUUGCUAAGACCGAUGUGAAAUCCCCGGGCUCAACCUGGGAACUGCAUUGGUGACUGGCAGGCUAGAGUAUGGCAGAGGGGGGUAGAAUUCCACGUGUAGCAGUGAAAUGCGUAGAGAUGUGGAGGAAUACCGAUGGCGAAGGCAGCCCCCUGGGCCAAAUACUGACGCUCAUGCACGAAAAGCGUGGGGAGCAAAACAGGAUUAGAUACCCUGGUAGUCCACGCCCUAAAGCGAUGUCAACUAGUUGUUGGGGAUUCAUUUCCUUAGUAACGUA
rnacentral:rRNA from 1 species